rnacentral:rRNA from 1 species
GAUACCCUAUUAUUUUAAGUGUGAAUUAUUUGUCUUUAAUUAUUAAUAGUUAAGUUCUUUAAAGUUAAAAAAUUUGGCGGUAUUUUAGUCUGUUCAGAGGAACCUGUCCNUUAAUCGAUAGUCCACGAUUAGCUUUACUUUGACUAUAAAAUUUAUAUAUCGUUGUUUACAAAAAUUUCAGGAGGAUAAUAAAUUUUUGUUAUAUUUUAUUAUAUAGUAUUUCAGAUCGAGGUGUAGUUUAUGUCUGAGAUAGGAUGGGUUACAUUANAAUUAUAUGUGG